rnacentral:rRNA from 1 species
CACGGUGGAUGCCUAGGCAUACAGAGGCGAUGAAGGACGUGUAAAGCUGCGAUAAGCUGCGGGGAGCUGCAUACGAGCAAUGAUCCGCGGAUGUCCGAAUGGGGCAACCCAUCCCGAUUUAUCGGGAUACUCCUACGGGAGAGCAAACGAGGGGAACUGAAACAUCUAAGUACCCUCAGGAAAAGAAAACAAGUUAGUGAUUUCCCAAGUAGCGGCGAGCGAACGGGAAGCAGCCCAAACCGACUUCCUACGGGGAGUCGGGGUAGUAGGACCUGCAUAAUUGAAGCAAGCUUAAGUCGAAACUGCCUGGAAAGCAGUCCCACAGAAGGUGAAAGGCCUGUAGGCGUACGGCGAGCGGAGAGGCGGGUAUCCUGAGUAGCGCGAGGCCGGUGAAACCUUGCGUGAACCAGCCGGCACCAUCCGGUAAGGCUAAAUACUCCUG